UCCCUGGUAGUAUAUCGGUUUAGUACACGCGCCUGUCAUAACGGACCUCUACUACAGUUAUAAACGCGCGAAAGCUGGGUUCGACUCCCAGCCAGGGAG
rnacentral:tRNA from 1 species